UACGAAGGGGGCUAGCGUUGCUCGGAAUCACUGGGCGUAAAGCGCACGUAGGCGGCUUUCUAAGUCAGGGGUGAAAUCCUGGAGCUCAACUCCAGAACUGCCUUUGAUACUGGCAAUCUAGAGACUGGAAGAGGUUAGUGGAAUUCCCAGUGUAGAGGUGAAAUUCGUAGAUAUUGGGAAGAACACCAGUGGCGAAGGCGGCUAACUGGUCCAGUACUGACGCUGAGGUGCGAAAGCGUGGGGAGCAAACAGG
rnacentral:rRNA from 1 species